rnacentral:tRNA from 2 species
GGGCGCGUAGCUCAAUUGGCAGAGCAGCUGACUUUUAAUCAGCGGGUUCCGGGUUCGAGUCCCGGCGCGCCUACCA